CGGCAUACCCGUCACGGGGCCGUGUCAGGACGGAAUGAGGCACUGCACUCUGUCCUUGCCGCUCCUCACUCAAAUAUGGCGAAACUGAGGCUCAGAGCAGUUGCGACAAGAAGCUUUGGCGUGUGUUACAAGGAGAAGGCACGGUUUUCAGAAGUUUUUUAAUGUGGCUACCAGGAAGUUGGAGAUUUCACAUGCGGCUCGCACUUGACAACUCUCACAGCAUCCCCCAUCCCACAGCCACACCUGUAUCCCGCAUCCCGCAUCCUGCAGCUGCACCCUCAUCCCGCAGCCCACUCCCCAUGCCCGUGACUGCCUCGAGGUGCCUCCUGCACCAGCGGGACGUGGCAGAAGCCCCAUCCUGAGGUUACCGUGAGGAUUAGAGAGGAUGCAUGUCAAGUUCUUGUAGCAAACUCAGAAUAUUCGCAGCUGUGCAGUGACUGUCACUUUUGUCACUUCUAUUGUCACCCGCUGAGGCCCAGAGAGGGCAGCCCUGUCCUGGGGCCACGCAGCAGGGCGGUGGGACCAACAGCCUCCCCAAGGCGGGGUCCAGCAGCUCCUCCACCGCACCCCGCACGUCCCGGUCUCGGUGGCAGGAGGCAGGAGGGAGGCAGCUGGGGGACCCUUUGAAUUGCUCAGGUCCCAGCUCCCGACACAAUGGAGUUACUGACCAGGCCAAGGCCGGUGGCCCGAGGCGGGCGGCCGGGGUCUGCUUAGCAUACCAGGCGGGGGCCCCGCCCCUUCCCAGG
ensembl:lncRNA